rnacentral:sRNA from 1 species
AGUCCCAGCUACUCAGGAGACUGAGGUGGGAGGAUCACUUGAACCUGGGAACUCAAGGCCGCAGUGAGCUGUGAUCAUGCCACUGCACUCCACUGCACUCCAGCUUGGAUAACAGAGUGAGACCCUGUCUCCAAAAAAAAAAAAAAAAAAAGAAAAAGAAAACAAGUCAUGGAGCUAGUAAGUGCCCAAGAGAAUAAGAAUAAACCUAGAUCCAUGGGACUCCAAGCCUGUGUGCACUGCAUGCUUGCUUUUUCCACCAAACCACGUUAACACAAGUUCCUCCUUCCACGAGACCCCAGCGGCAAGGGGCACCUGAGAAGCCCUCAUGGCACCCUCCCAAGUUGUUUCCAUGGCUACUACAGUAAGAAAGUGUUGCUGGGGGAAGGUCAGCUCUCUGGCCCACGCCUUCCACCUGUUUCUGCUGUGUUCUUUCCUCAGGGAUCCCAACGGCUUCAAUGACUGGACCUUCUCCACCGUGCGAUGCUGGGGGGAGAGAGCCCGAGGGACCUACAGGCUUGUCAUCAGGGAUGUCGGAUAGCAACAAAAAGUCCUUGUCGAAACCACAUUUCAAGUCCU